rnacentral:rRNA from 1 species
AUUGAACGCUGGCGGCAGGCUUAACACAUGCAAGUCGAGCGAGCGGCGGACGGGUGAGUAAUGUCUGGGAAACUGCCGGAUGGCGGGGGAUAACUACUGGAAACGGUAGCUAAUUCCGCAUACCAUCAGAUGUGCCCAGAUGGGAUUAGCGUGUAGGUGGGGUAAUGGCUCACCUAGGCGACGAUCCCUAGCUGGUCUGAGAGGAUGACCAGGCACACUGGAACGGAGACACGGUCCAGACUCCUACGGGAGGCAGCAGUGGGGAAUAUUGCACAAUGGGCGCAAGCCUGAUGCAGCCAUGCCGCGUGUGUGAAGAAGGUCUUCGGAUUGUAAAGCACUUGAAGUUGGGAGGCGUUACCAACAGAAGAAGCACCGGCUAACUUCGUGCCAGCAGCCGCGGUAAUAC